GCGUUGAUAGCUCAGUUAAACUUUCUUUGUUCGUACCUUAUCCAUAAAUUGGGUCGCAGAAUGAAGAUUAUCGGUAAGAGCAACUAGAAACAUAAUUUAGUAGGUCGUGGGUUCAAAUCUCACUCAACGCACCA
rnacentral:tRNA from 1 species